UGGGGAAUAUUGGACAAUGGGCGCAAGCCUGAUCCAGCCAUGCCGCGUGAGUGAUGAAGGCCCUAGGGUUGUAAAGCUCUUUCGCCAGGGACGAUAAUGACGGUACCUGGAUAAGAAGCCCCGGCUAACUUCGUGCCAGCAGCCGCGGUAAUACGAAGGGGGCUAGCGUUGUUCGGAAUCACUGGGCGUAAAGCGCACGUAGGCGGAUCUUUAAGUCAGGGGUGAAAUCCCGAGGCUCAACCUCGGAACUGCCUUUGAUACUGGAGGUCUCGAGUCCGGGAGAGGUGAGUGGAACUGCGAGUGUAGAGGUGAAAUUCGUAGAUAUUCGCAAGAACACCAGUGGCGAAGGCGGCUCACUGGCCCGGUACUGACGCUGAGGUGCGAAAGCGUGGGGAGCAAAACAGGAUUAGAUACCCUGGUAGUCCACGCCGUAAAACUAUGGAUGCUAGCCGUUGGGCAGCUUGCUGUUCAGUGGCGCAGCUAACGCUUUAAGCAUCCCGCCUGGGGAGUACGGUCGCAAGAUUAAAACUCAAAGGAAUUGACGGGGUCAUAGCUGUUUCCU
rnacentral:rRNA from 1 species